ACAACAAAUCAAUUUUUCCUGAAUGAAAAUGUGAAGAUGUGCGUUGCGCAUUUGAUCGGAUAAGAUAAAAAUGGUGAUGAAAUGUCGUCUUCGUGUAUAAUGCGCUCCAAUGUUUUUAUCUCAACGCCCACGUUCCCAGAAGAAAUGAUUACGAACGAAAUGAUUUUUCCAAUAUUGUGCAAUAUGUUACGGUGUGCUGUGCACAAGUCCCGCGCGAGGAGCGGGAUCGAACGCCAUUUCCUGGAACAACAAAAAAACGCAGCGUGCACGCAGCGGAGAACAGACGAAUUUCGCAGGAACUAAUAGAAAAUCCCACCAACAACAACAACUGCCGCCGCCACCGAUUCCUUGAAGAAGUUUUACGUCGGCGGUUUUUCCACGAAUGAAUUCAGCCGAUUGCCACACACACACAACUUUAAUGUUGCCAACGAAUAAUAGGAAAAACCACACCAUAUAAACGAGCAGGCGCUGGGUUGCUAAGGGCAACGGCGGGAAAACCCGGUUCGACUCUAGCAUGCAACCACACACACACACACAAUAUAUAUGAAACUACGUCACGAUGAUAUGCUGCUGCCCAAGCCCAAGCCCCUUGGCUGAACUGGCGAGCUCCACCAUGCCCUGAACUGCGUGCUGCUGCCACUAUCGACGUCAUUUUCCAACGGCGCCCAGCACCACCACCACCACCAGCACUACUACACUACAGUACACACACAUCUCGUUCCAACCGGUUUCGACUUUCACCCGGACGCUCCCGCCCAGAGCCCAAGCAGUAGCUCUCAUAGUAUAUUAUAGAUGUAUAGUUACAAUUUUUCUUUUGUCCAUAAAUACGUACACAUUUCUUCGUUUUCUCUUAUUUUUUGAACGUUUCACCGUGACCUUAAAAAUUGUAGGCGGGAAUGGUUGUUUUUGUUUCGUACGAAAAAAUAUUUGUAUUAUUAUUUAAUUAUUAUUUUUGCAUCAUCAUCAAAUAUGGAGGGGGUGAGGAGACAUAAACAGACACACAAACGAUUUCUUAUUUUUUGUUUUGUUGCAUAGCGCUCAAUAUUAAUGAAAAUCUAUUUCAAAUGUUUUCUGACUGCAUUUGUGCGUCUACAAAAAUUGAAAAAUUGUUUCCAGGUGACACAGAAUUUUUCCGACGAUUUG